GGGGGGGUUGCGAGCUUAUCAGUCGAAUGGUUUCAUCUUAAUCCUAUAGUGAUCUAUGGAUAUGGAUCAGAAGGAGAAAAAAAUUGAAAAAAAUUGAGACAGCGACUCGGCUACUGCAGAUCUGCAUGAUCAGCAAAUGUGGCUUUCUGCAAGCACAAAUAUUCGCAUUCGACCAUUCGUGGCCUGUUUCUCGUAUUUCGCACGCACGUCCACACCACUCAAGAGGGUAUUAAUAAUCGAACUUGGUGCUUAAAAAAAAAUGCCCCAACUCGCGUGCUUUAGUACCUACCUAUUGAACUUGGCAGGCACACCGACCGUCGUAUGUAUACUCAGCAUAUAACGUAGGCAGGCAAUAAGAGGUAGGUAAAUUUAUUCAUUGUCGUGUUAAUGUGCGUAUACACCUAUUAGCGUACUUCAUCAUAUUUCACCAUUUUUUCAUUUGUAUUUUCGAGCAACAGCGUCAACGUGUCAUGAAACGAGAACUUUCAUACUUGACCUUUUGAUAAAAUAAUAUUGUGUCGUAGGUACCUACUAAAUAUACGUUCGUAUAUUCGAUACCUACUGACUAAUUACCUACUCGAAUAAGCAGGUAAUCGGAUACGGAGAAUGCACUGGUGUAAUCGUAAUAAAGCUAAUUACUUACCUCGGCUAUGGGUUUUACAGUACACUACCGAACACAAUAAAUUAUCAUACGCAAAGUUCGUGUAAACGAAUGUAUUUGUCAAUAAAGACAACUUAAAACCGACUCGGAGCACUUCAAAGGGUUCAACACAACGAUUAUUCGGGGGGAAUUACAAAUUACGUUAACACUACUAAAUUAUUACUAAAUUAUAAAAUAUACAAAAACACUUUAAACCUAGGGCCGGAGCUCUAAAGAAUUAAGGACAUAUUAACUUGGCAACUCGUAUACUCGCGGAUUCGAACUACGAGUUGGUCCAGUUGCCAAGGAAGCUGGAAGGCUCAUUUGACACCUUGACCACUCAUUGUUACCAACCACAUCACCGAACGGUGCUGGAAGGGUUAAAUUACCUGUUUAUACACAUACGUGUUACCAUUAAGGCAUAUCCGUCUAACAUAUGCCCUCCGAGGUUUACUCAGCUAUGACUCAGCGAGCUAAGUUCCCAGCAGAGGAAAUCACGGUGUGAGACAUAGACAUGACUUAAUGCUAACACUGUCCGUACGGACCCUGCUGCCCCCCAUGAGUUUCUCGGAUGAGAAAUUGGUGAGCAGAGAAGAAAGAAGAAAAUUCUCAAAUUUGGAACCACAGCGCACCCUAGGUGUUGAAGCAGGCGCGUACGUGACCCACUGAGCCACCAGAGAUCGAUCACUCGAAAUACAAUGUACUCAACAAAUACACGUAACUACCUAGCUCUAGCCUAGGAUACACGACAUCAAAAAAGUUGCCAGUUAGCAAUAAUAAGAUCCUUUUUUGUUUCAGAUAUCCGUCCAAAAAGGUGAGAAUAUGGAUCGAUUGAAGAUAAGCCGCCUGAGCUCUGAACGAUGAAGCGAAUAAGAGCUACGUACGUAGCUGCGAGUUCGAUGUCCAAGUCAACAUGUCCAAAACAGGUUUAUGGGUCAUUAACGCCUCCGAGCCGGUUUGUAUUUACGUUCGUAUUCAUUCUUACGAUUAAGUGCAACGUUUAGGAAGAAAAAAUGUGCAAAUUAUAGAAUAAGUUUGUACUUUUAUUCGAUGUAUAGGUUACAACAUGCAUUGUAAAUACUGAUUAUUGUUUAUUGAUAAAAUAAAGAAUAAAUACCCAAAAUAGUUUUGUAAAUUAUUACGAUACUCAGUCUUACUUCUUCAGACUUAUACAGUAAAGUAACGUUCGUUAAAUACAAAAAAAAAAUUAUUAAGGAAAAAACAAUAAAAAUUAAAACAACAUCCUCGAGAUAAACGAAGUACAGUUAUGUAACGGAAAAACUGCAAAAAAAUUCAACAAUUGGUAAGAAAGGAUAAAGUAAAAUAAUACUAUUUAGUACAAACUGGUAUGAAAUAAAAUAGAAAAGCACUUCGAGGUUAUUGAUCAUAAAGAUCGCAGAUGGCACUAUUCGUGCAGAAAUGUAAAAUUUAAAUUCCAAAAUUUAACCUCGAUAAAAAAAAAAAAAAAAUAUAUCAAAAAUUUAUCAGUAUUUACAAUGCAUGUUGUAACCUAUACAUCGAAUAAAAGUACAAACUUAUUCUAUAAUUUGCACAUUUUUUCUUCCUAAACGUUGCACUUAAUCGUAAGAAUGAAUACGAACGUAAAUACAAACCGGCUCGGAGGCGUUAAUGACCCAUAAACCUGAAACAUAAAAAUAGAAACAAUUGUGUUAGUAUACAAGGUGUAUAAUUACGAGCCUAGUUUAAAUCCAAAUUUAAUAUAUUUUUUUUUUUUUUUAUUUUAUUUUUGAUUAUUAUUCACAGUAGUUACAUCGAAAUAAUAGCAAUAGUUGGUAACCGGUUCUCACCUGUUUUGGACAUGUUGACUUGGACAUCGAACUCGCAGCUACGUACGUAGCUCUUAUUCGCUUCAUCGUUCAGAGCUCAGGCGGCUUAUCUUCAAUCGAUCCAUAUUCUCACCUUUUUGGACGGAUAUCUGAAACAAAAAAGGAUCUUAUUAUUGCUAACUGGCAACUUUUUUGAUGUCGUGUAUCCUAGGCUAGAGCUAGGUAGUUACGUGUAUUUGUUGAGUACAUUGUAUUUCGAGUGAUCGAUCUCUGGUGGCUCAGUGGGUCACGUACGCGCCUGCUUCAACACCUAGGGUGCGCUGUGGUUCCAAAUUUGAGAAUUUUCUUCUUUCUUCUCUGCUCACCAAUUUCUCAUCCGAGAAACUCAUGGGGGGCAGCAGGGUCCGUACGGACAGUGUUAGCAUUAAGUCAUGUCUAUGUCUCACACCGUGAUUUCCUCUGCUGGGAACUUAGCUCGCUGAGUCAUAGCUGAGUAAACCUCGGAGGGCAUAUGUUAGACGGAUAUGCCUUAAUGGUAACACGUAUGUGUAUAAACAGGUAAUUUAACCCUUCCAGCACCGUUCGGUGAUGUGGUUGGUAACAAUGAGUGGUCAAGGUGUCAAAUGAGCCUUCCAGCUUCCUUGGCAACUGGACCAACUCGUAGUUCGAAUCCGCGAGUAUACGAGUUGCCAAGUUAAUAUGUCCUUAAUUCUUUAGAGCUCCGGCCCUAGGUUUAAAGUGUUUUUGUAUAUUUUAUAAUUUAGUAAUAAUUUAGUAGUGUUAACGUAAUUUGUAAUUCCCCCCGAAUAAUCGUUGUGUUGAACCCUUUGAAGUGCUCCGAGUCGGUUUUAAGUUGUCUUUAUUGACAAAUACAUUCGUUUACACGAA